UGGGGAAUAUUGCACAAUGGGCGCAAGCCUGAUGCAGCCAUGCCGCGUGUGUGAAGAAGGCCUUCGGGUUGUAAAGCACUUUCAGCGGGGAGGAAGGCGGUGAGGUUAAUAACCUCAUCGAUUGACGUUACCCGCAGAAGAAGCACCGGCUAACUCCGUGCCAGCAGCCGCGGUAAUACGGAGGGUGCAAGCGUUAAUCGGAAUUACUGGGCGUAAAGCGCACGCAGGCGGUCUGUCAAGUCGGAUGUGAAAUCCCCGGGCUCAACCUGGGAACUGCAUUCGAAACUGGCAGGCUAGAGUCUUGUAGAGGGGGGUAGAAUUCCAGGUGUAGCGGUGAAAUGCGUAGAGAUCUGGAGGAAUACCGGUGGCGAAUGCGGCCCCCUGGACAAAGACUGACGCUCAGGUGCGAAAGCGUGGGGAGCAAACAGG
rnacentral:rRNA from 1 species